rnacentral:sRNA from 1 species
CAUUGGGGAGUAGCCGCUCGAAGUCGUCACUUCGAGGGCCACGUCAACAGACUUGACCGCCGUCGCAACGACAGGUGGUUAUGGCGUGGUCAGCCGCACUCAGGGUGCCAUCCAUGCACCCGGUGACGCGCCUGGCGAGACCGAUGACAACCCACUGCGGAC